UCCCUGGUGGCUCAGAUGGUAAAGAAUCCGCUUUCAAUGCAGGAGAUCUAGGUUCAAUACCUAGGCUGGGAA
rnacentral:tRNA from 1 species